CCUACGGGUGGCUGCAGUGAGGAAUAUUGGUCAAUGGCCGGAAGGCUGAACCAGCCAAGCCGCGUGAGGGAGGAAGGCGCAGAGCGUCGCAGACCUCUUUUGCCGGGGGACAAAAGGCCGGACUCGUCCGGUCCUGAGGGUACCCGGAGAAAAAGCAUCGGCUAACUCCGUGCCAGCAGCCGCGGUAAUACGGAGGAUGCGAGCGUUAUCCGGAUUCAUUGGGUUUAAGGGGUGCGCAGGCGGGGCUUUAAGCCUGCGGGGAAAUCGGGGGGCUCAACCCCGCCGCGCCGUCGGAACUGGGGGCCUUGAGUGCGGCGGAGGCAUGCGGAAUGCGCGGUGUAGCGGUGAAAUGCAUAGAUAUCACGAAGAACGCCGAUUGCGAAGGCAGCUCACUGGACUGCAACUGACGCUGAGGCUCGAAAGUGUGGGUAUCAAACAGGAUUAGAUACCCGGGUAGUC
rnacentral:rRNA from 1 species